GGCCGGGGAUUAGUGGCGAACGGGUGAGUAACACGUGGGCAAUCUGCCCUGCACUCUGGGACAAGCCCUGGAAACGGGGUCUAAUACCGGAUAUGACACGCUCCCGCAUGGGAUGCGUGUGGAAAGCUCCGGCGGUGCAGGAUGAGCCCGCGGCCUAUCAGCUUGUUGGUGGGGUGAUGGCCUACCAAGGCGACGACGGGUAGCCGGCCUGAGAGGGCGACCGGCCACACUGGGACUGAGACACGGCCCAGACUCCUACGGGAGGCAGCAGUGGGGAAUAUUGCACAAUGGGCGAAAGCCUGAUGCAGCGACGCCGCGUGAGGGAUGACGGCCUUCGGGUUGUAAACCUCUUUCAGCAGGGAAGAAGCGAGAGUGACGGUACCUGCAGAAGAAGCGCCGGCUAACUACGUGCCAGCAGCCGCGGUAAUACGUAGGGCGCAAGCGUUGUCCGGAAUUAUUGGGCGUAAAGAGCUCGUAGGCGGCUUGUCGCGUCGGAUGUGAAAGCCCGGGGCUUAACCCCGGGUCUGCAUUCGAUACGGGCAGGCUAGAGUUCGGUA
rnacentral:rRNA from 1 species